rnacentral:misc_RNA from 1 species
AAAAGGUCAUUUGCUGCUAAUCAGGUAUCUUUUUUCUUGGACUUACAAAUUAGGGUGUGUUUGGAUUGAGGUUAAAGGGGCUUAACAAGUUAUCCUCCUUUAACCUUGUUUGGUAUGUCUGAUCCUUCAAGAGGGUAACAGUUAGGGAGUUUAAUGGUUAACCACCUCCCCCAAAGGUUAAAAGUGUGUUGAGAGUUGGUAAAG